rnacentral:rRNA from 1 species
UCGGGAAUUUUGGGCAAUGGGCGAAAGCCUGACCCAGCAACGCCGCGUGAGGGAUGAAGUAUUUCGGUAUGUAAACCUCGAAAGAAUGGGAAGAAUAAAUGACGGUACCAUUUAUAAGCUCCGGCUAACUACGUGCCAGCAGCCGCGGUAAUACGUAGGGAGCAAGCGUUGUUCGGAUUUACUGGGCGUAAAGGGCGCGUAGGCGGCGCGGUAAGUCACCUGUGAAAUCUCUGAGCUUAACUCAGAACGGCCAAGUGAUACUGCUGUGCUAGAGUGCGGAAGAGGCAACCGGAAUUCUUGGUGUAGCGGUGAAAUGCGUAGAUAUCAAGAGGAACACCAGAGGCGAAGGCGGGUUGCUGGGCCGACACUGACGCUGAUGCGCGAAAGCCAGGGGAGCAAACG